rnacentral:rRNA from 1 species
AUUCGCGGCCUAUCAGCUUGUUGGCGGGGUAACGGCCCACCAAGGCAUCGACGGGUAGCUGGUCUGAGAGGACGAUCAGCCACACUGGGACUGAGACACGGCCCAGACUCCUACGGGAGGCAGCAGUGGGGAAUCUUGCGCAAUGGGCGAAAGCCUGACGCAGCAACGCCGCGUGCGGGAUGACGGCCUUCGGGUUGUAAACCGCUUUCAGCAGGGACGAAAUUGACGGUACCUGCAGAAGAAGCCCUGGCCAACUACGUGCCAGCAGCCGCGGUAACACGUAGGGGGCGAGCGUUGUCCGGAUUUAUUGGGCGUAAAGAGCUCGUAGGCGGCUCGGUAAGUCGGGUGUGAAACCUCCAGGCUCAACCUGGAGACGCCACCUGAUACUGCUGUGGCUAGAGUCCGGUAGGGGAGCGUGGAACUCCUGGUGUAGCGGUGAAAUGCGCAGAUAUCAGGAAGAACACCAGCGGCGAAGGCGGCGCUCUGGGCCGGAACUGACGCUGAGGAGCGAAAGCGUGGGUAGCAAACAGGAUUAGAUACCCUGGUAGUCCACGCCGUAAACGUUGGGCACUAGGUGUGGGUCUCAACCAACGAGAUCCGUGCCGCAGCUAACGCAUUAAGUGCCCCGCCUGGGGAGUACGGAAU